AAAGGAAGGAAAUCCUUUUCCCUGCUAACAUUUAUUUGCAGUUGGAUGUGAAGGCAUGGAAAUGUAAAACAUGAAGGCAGUACACAAGAUGAGGAGCUUUAUUCAAGCAAUUGUAGCAUGUCAUGUUUUGCCUGUACAUAACCACAGCUGUGAAUUGGUGUGAGAACCUGAUUUUUUUUUUUUAAUCUAGGCAUAUCAUAUGAACAGAAUUCCAGAAUAUGAUACAACCCAAAACAUACACGACUCGGAAUAAGAGAACACUGCAGUUGUUAUAACUGAUGGCAAGCUUACAAUGACUUUGUUCGUUCUGUGGGACAAGAAAAUUUAAAUAUAAAACAAGCAGAACAGAUACCAACAUGAAAUGCUCUGUAUUUGCCAUACGAGGAGAGAUUUGUGAUUGCAUCAGCCUGCAGAGAGAGUAGCUGGAAACUAUCCGAGCGUGAUGACUAAACAGAAACUGAUCUGUUGUUUGCUGGCUGGCACGAACAAGUAUUGCCAAAGCUAGGAAAUUCAGAAGGCAAAAACAAGUAGUAGUAACCCACUUCUAGGCAUGCAUUACAACAUGAUCAAAGAGCAACAUCUCCCAGAAAGAGAAGUAAACUAACGGAACAGUAGUUUUAGAGUGAGGGCAUUUCAUCUUAACUGUUCAGAAUGCAGUGCUAGGGAUGGGCCUGUUAUUAACACAACACUUCCUUCCUUUUCUAAUUUGCCAUAACAUUUUUCUUAUACCUUGAAUCCCAAGUCUGCUGACCUUUCAGAAUGGAGCAUGGUUAACUUGAAGGGUGUAUAAUUUAACAGUUUCAACUGCUCAAAAAAAGAUCUGUUAAGUGAAUUUGGAUUUAUCACAGGCCAUCAGACACUCAGCAACAGAUGAAAACGUAGUUAUUAUUCUCUUCAAUCUUCUCUACUUAGAUUACAUCUAAGUCAAUAUCCUACAGUCUGAACUCAGGUACCAGAGAUAGCAGAGACAAUGAGUUCAGUAUCUGCCCCUUACUGGUCAGGAGGCAGGAUACAAACAAUUGCUACAGCAGACUGGGGAAGAUCAUUGCAAUACUGGUAUUCAUCAUUUGUUGUUGUGAUACUUUCAAUGAGAUUAGAUACACUCAAAACCAAACGUCAAUAAGUGACAAAAGCUCCUCUUAAGAAACUGUUAAAACCAACAAAAAACACUCAUGUUCUCAGACUGGGAAGAAUUGGGUAUUACUGCUAUAGAAGAGCAAGUAAAGCAAGCAGAGGGUACAAUGUCUCUUUUCCUGUACAGGGGAAUCUCAGGCAAGGAACGUUUCCUGUGGUAUUUGUUCCUUAAUGAGGAAAACUGUAGCCAACAAGCAGGAAGAGACAUAAUCCCCUUACUGACCACUCUACAGCUGCAUCAGGCCAUGCUGCACAUCUGGAAGCACACAACAGAGGAAAGUAGAAGCUAUUUUUCCUCAUCUUCCUUUCAG
rnacentral:lncRNA from 7 species